rnacentral:rRNA from 1 species
AUGGCCGAUCCGUACGGCGACGGCCGGGCGCUGAGGAAUCAUCAGCACCAGCAUCAGCAGCAGCGGCCCAGGCUGAAGCCGGCGAUGGAGAUGGAGGACCUCAUCAGCCUGCUCCACGGCUCCGAUCCCGUCCGCGUCGAGCUCACCCGCCUCGAGAACGACCUCCACUACAAGGAGAAGGAGCUCGGCGACGCGCAGGCGGAGAUCAAGGCCCUGCGCCUCUCCGAGCGGGCGCGCGAGAAGGCCGUCGAGGAUCUUACCGAAGAACUGGCAAAGGUGGAUGGGAAGCUCAAGCUCACAGAGUCUCUCCUGGAAAGCAAAAACCUUGAAGCGAAGAAGAUCAACGAUGAGAAGAAAGCAGCACUUGCUGCCCAGUUUGCAGCGGAGGCUACGCUUCGGAGGGUUCAUGCAGCGCAGAAGGAUGAUGACAUGCCUCCCAUCGAGGCCAUCCUUGCGCCGCUGGAGGCCGAGCUGAAACUAGCCCGUCAAGAGAUUGCAAAAUUACAAGAUGACAACAGGGCAUUGGACCGUCUUACCAAAUCCAAGGAAGCUGCUCUGCUGGAAGCAGAAAGGACAGUUCAGAUAGCAUUAGCGAAAGCUUCCUUGGUGGAUGAUUUACAAAACAAAAACCAAGAAUUGAUGAAACAGAUCGAAAUAUGUCAGGAAGAGAACAAAAUCCUGGACAGAAUGCACCGCCAGAAGGUUGCUGAGGUCGAAAAGCUUACUCAGACCGUCAGAGAGCUAGAAGAAGCUGUUCUUGCUGGUGGUGCAAUGGCAAAUGCUGUGAGGGACUAUCAGCGGAAAGUUCAGGAGAUGAAUGAGGAAAUGAAAACUCUGGAUCGUGAGCUUGCCCAUGCAAAGGUUUCAGCAAAUAGGGUCGCGGUAGUGGUGGCAAAUGAGUGGAAAGAUGGCAAUGAUAAAGUAAUGCCUGUUAAGCAAUGGCUUGAAGAACGGAGGCUUCUGCAAGGAGAAAUGCAGCAACUUCGUGAUAAACUUGCUAUAGCAGAAAGGGCCGCAAGAUCAGAAGCUCAACUGAAGGACAAGUUCCAGCUACGGCUUAAAGUACUUGAGGAAGGAUUGAGAAUGUCGACAUCUCGAACCAAUGCAAGUGCUGCGCGCCGCUAA